CCUGGUUGAUCCUGCCGGUAGUCAUAUGCUUGUCUCAAAGAUUAAGCCAUGCAUGUGUAAGUAUGAACUAUUUCAGACUGUGAAACUGCGAAUGGCUCAUUAAAUCAGUUAUAGUUUGUUUGAUGAUGCGUGCUACUUUCGGAUAACCGUAGUAAUUCUAGAGCUAUCGUGCAACAAACCCGACUUCGGAAGGGAUGCAUUUAUUAGAUAAAAAAAAGCUGGCGUGGGCUUUGCUUUCGCUGCUCCGAUGAUUCAUGAUAACUUCGGCGGAUCGCCGCGGCCCUCGUGCGGCGGCGCAUCAUUCAAAUUUCUGCCCUAUCAACUUUCGAUGGUAGGAUAGGGGCCUACCAUGGUGGUGGCGGGUGGGGAGAAUUAGGGUUCGAUUCGGAGAGGGGCACGAAAAAGCGGCUACCACAUCCAAAAGGAAGGCAGCGGUAGCGCCAAUUACCCAAUCGACCACGGAGGUAGUAGUGACAAUAAAAAUAACAAUACCGGGCUCUUGAGUGCAGUAAUGGAAUAAUUACAAUCUAAAUCCCUUAACGAGGAUCCAUUGGAGGGCAAGUCACGGUGCCGGCCGGCGCGCGGUAAUUCCAGCUCAAUAAGCGUAUAUUUAAGUUGUUGCAGUUUAAAAAGCUUCGUAGUUGGACUUUGGGGCCGGGUUGGUCGGUCCGCCUCGCGGUGUGUGCACGGUCGUCCCAUCCCUCUCGGCGAUCGUGUGCCUGGCCUUAACUGGCGGGUCGUGCCUCGGCGCUUUGUUACUUUGAAGAAAUUAGAGUGCUCAAAAGCAAGCCCACGCUCUGGAUACAUUAGCAUGGGAUAACAUCACGGGAUUUCGGUCCUAUUGUGUUGGCCUUGGGGAUCGGAUAAUGAUUAAGAGGGACGGUCGGGGGCAUUAAGUAUUUCAUAGUCGGAGGUGAAAUUCUUGGAUUUAUGAAAGGCGAACCACUGCUGCGAAAGCAUUUGCCAAGGAUGUUUUCAUUAAUCAAGAACGAAAGUUGGGGGCUCGAAGGCGAUCGGAUACCGUCCUAGUCUCAACCAUAAGCGAUGCCGACCGGGGAUGGGCGGAUGUUACUCUUAGGACUCCGCCCGGCACCUUAUGAAAAUCAAAGUCUUUGGGUUCGGGGGGUAUGGUGCAAAGCUGAAACUUAAAGGAAUUGUGGAAGGGCACCACCGGGGUGGAGCCUGCGGCUUAAUUUGACUCAACAACGGGGAAACUUACCAGGUCGGACAUAGCAAGGAUUGACGGGUGAGAGCUCUUUCUUGAUUCUAUGGGUGGUGGUGCAUGGCCGUUCUUAGUUGGUGGAAGCGAUUUAUGCGGUUAAUUCCGAUAGCGAGCGAGACCUCGACCU
rnacentral:rRNA from 1 species